GGAAAGUUGGUAGAGUGGCUUAUUACAGUUGGUUGCUAACCAACCGAGGGUAAAAUCCUCCACAGGUUCGAAUCCUGUACUUUCCUCCA
rnacentral:tRNA from 1 species